rnacentral:snRNA from 1 species
AGAUAUGAGGCGCUCUGUCUGUGACAUCUGUCAUCCAUUGAUUGCCAGGAUUGAUCUGGCUGGCUAUGCUGGUGUCCCCUUCCUCCCUCACCGCUCCACGUGCGUCCCUCCCGAAGCUGCGUGCUCGGUCAAAGAGGACGACCUUCCCCAAAUAGAGGAGGAGCGGGCUUCAGUCAAGGGUGUGUGAGUAGCUGCACUCCCCGGCUAGAACCUCCAAAUGAGCUCUCAAGAAAUUCACAUCCCUAGAGCCUGCAGUUCUAUGGACACCCCACCAACCCUUCAAUGGGUGACUGACCAAGUCAUCUAUCAGCUUG